CAGCCCUAUUGGUCCACUUUAAUUCAUUUCAUUGGGCUAGUGUCAACCAUACCCACUACGGAUAAAGAUGUUGCCAGAUGAAGCCCAGAAGUGAGCUUCACCAGACUCUGUAGCUCAGAGUCAGAAACACGCAUGGAAAACUAGGUCAUGGAUAUUCUAAUUUUGGUCUUCAGGGAGGCUGCUGACCUAAAGCGAGUUGCUGAGUUAGACCCUAUUUGAAAAGGAAAAUGUGAAAAACAGGAAGGCACUGAGGUCUUGUUAUCUACAUAACAAAUAUUCAGGCACAGAAAAUAUCAUAGGUUAAAAUUUCAAGAAGAGUAAGGCAUUAGUUGGAUCAUGAGAAGGCAGAAGAUUAUGUUUUCUAACUUGUAAGGAUCACUGGAUCCUACUGGAUUAUGAAGUGAAUGGCAGUAAUCCACUAACUCCUUAAACAGUGGGAAAAGAGUUUGCUGAAAAUCUGCCCACAUACUUGUACACUCCAUGGCCAUACCCUGGAAUUCUUCCCUUAACAUAAAAUGACCAACAUUUUGGAGUAGGCAGUUGAG
rnacentral:lncRNA from 1 species